rnacentral:pre_miRNA from 1 species
CGUCUUUCCCCGCAGUAUUGGACAGUUUUAUAUUCUCUAAUACUGUUUGGUAAAGAUGCC